rnacentral:rRNA from 1 species
GCUGAAGCAACAAAUGCCCUGCUUCCAGGAAAAGCCUCUAAGCAUCAGGUAACACGAAAUCGUACCCCAAACCGACACAGGUGGUCAGGUAGAGAAUACCAAGGCGCUUGAGAGAACUCGGGUGAAGGAACUAGGCAAAAUGGUGCCGUAACUUCGGGAGAAGGCACGCUGACACGUAGGUGAAGUGAUUUACUCAUGGAGCUGAAGUCAGUCGAAGAUACCAGCUGGCUGCAACUGUUUAUUAAAAACACAGCACUGUGCAAACACGAAAGUGGACGUAUACGGUGUGACGCCUGCCCGGUGCCGGAAGGUUAAUUGAUGGGGUCAGCGCAAGCGAAGCUCCUGAUCGAAGCCCCGGUAAACGGCGGCCGUAACUAUAACGGUCCUAAGGUAGCGAAAUUCCUUGUCGGGUAAGUUCCGACCUGCACGAAUGGCGUAAUGAUGGCCAGGCUGUCUCCACCCGAGACUCAGUGAAAUUGAACUCGCUGUGAAGAUGCAGUGUACCCGCGGCAAGACGGAAAGACCCCGUGAACCUUUACUAUAGCUUGACACUGAACAUUGAGCCUUGAUGUGUAGGAUAGGUGGGAGGCUUUGAAGUGUGGACGCCAGUCUGCAUGGAGCCGACCUUGAAAUACCACCCUUUAAUGUUUGAUGUUCUAACGUGGACCCGUAAUCCGGGUUGCGGACAGUGUCUGGUGGGUAGUUUGACUGGGGCGGUCUCCUCCUAAAGAGUAACGGAGGAGCACGAAGGUUGGCUAAUCCUGGUCGGACAUCAGGAGGUUAGUGCAAUGGCAUAAGCCAGCUUGACUGCGAGCGUGACGGCGCGAGCAGGUGCGAAAGCAGGUCAUAGUGAUCCGGUGGUUCUGAAUGGAAGGGCCAUCGCUCAACGGAUAAAAGGUACUCCGGGGAUAACAGGCUGAUACCGCCCAAGAGUUCAUAUCGACGGCGGUGUUUGGCACCUCGAUGUCGGCUCAUCACAUCCUGGGGCUGAAGUAGGUCCCAAGGGUAUGGCUGUUCGCCAUUUAAAGUGGUACGCGAGCUGGGUUUAGAACGUCGUGAGACAGUUCGGUCCCUAUCUGCCGUGGGCGCUGGAGAACUGAGGGGGGCUGCUCCUAGUACGAGAGGACCGGAGUGGACGCAUCACUGGUGUUCGGGUUGUCAUGCCAAUGGCACUGCCCGGUAGCUAAAUGCGGAAGAGAUAAGUGCUGAAAGCAUCUAAGCACGAAACUUGCCCCGA